rnacentral:rRNA from 1 species
GACGGGGGUCCUAGCGUUGUUCGGAAUCAUUGGGCGUAAGCGUGUGCAGGUGGUUUUGUAAGUUAGAUGUGAAAGCCUUGGGCUUAACCCAAGAAGUGCAUUUAAAACUACAAAACUUGAGUAUGGAAGAGGGUCGUGGAAUUCCAGGUGUAGUGGUGAAAUACGUAGAUAUCUGGAGGAACACCGGUGGCGAAGGCGGCGACCUGGUCCUAUACUGACACUCAUACACGAAAGCGUGGGGAUCAAACAGGG